rnacentral:rRNA from 1 species
CCUACGGGUGGCUGCAGUGGGGCAUAUUGCACAAUGGGGGAAACCCUGAUGCAGCGACGCCGCGUGAGUGAGGAAGUAUCUCGGUAUGUUAAGCUCUAUCAGCAGGGAAGAAAAUGACGGUACCUGACUAAGAAGCCCCGGCUAACUACGUGCCAGCAGCCGCGGUAAUACGUCGGGGGCAAGCGUUAUUCGGAUUUACUGGGUGUAAAGGGAGCGUAGACGGGUAAUCAAGUCAGAAGUGAAAACCCAGGGAUUAACCUUGGGACUGCUUUGGAAACUGAGUACCUAGAGUGCAGGAGAGGUAAGCGGAAUGCCUAGUGUAGCGGUGAAAUGCGUAGAUAUUAGGAGGAACACC